rnacentral:rRNA from 1 species
GUCCUCUUGAUUUUAUAUGAGGUCUGACCUGCCCAGUGAAAAUUAUUUUAACGGCCGCGGUAUUUUGACCGUGCAAAGGUAGCAUAAUCAUUAGUCUUUUAAUAGGAGGCUGGAAUGAAGGGUUUGACGAGGUAUUAACUGUCUCAUUUAAUUUGAAGUUAAAAUUUAACUUUUCAGUUAAAAGGCUGAAAUUUCAUUGGAAGACGAGAAGACCCUAUAGAGCUUUAUAUUUAAAAUUAAUAAUUAAUUUUUGUUUAUUAUUAUUUUUUAUUGUUUUAAUUAUUUUGUUGGGGUGACAAAAAUAUAUAUAUAACUCUUUUAUUUAAAUAACAUUGAUUUAUGAUUAUUAGAUCCAAUCUUAUUGAUUGUUAGAUUAAGUUACCUUAGGGAUAACAGCGUAAUCUUCCUUCAGAGUUCAUAUUUACAGGAAGGAUUGCGACCUCGAUGUUGGAUUAAGAUAAUAAUUAGGUGUAGCCGCUUAAUAUAUAGGUCUGUUCGACCUUUAAAUUCUU